UCCGCCCACUUUGACAGGAUCCGCUGCUGAGUGACAUAGAUCUUUGGUUUUGCCUUUGCCGACUGCUGAUCUGAUCGUCUCAAGUCUGAGUGAACAGAUCUUUGGUUUUGCCUUUUCUGACUGCUGAUCUGAUCGUCUCAAGUCUGGUGACCUGCUGCAGAAGCUCUCUCCCUCUAUCAUUAACAAGCCAUUCAGUCUGUCCUAUCACUCUCCCCACUCUAUCUAUUUUGACAAGCCGUUCUAUCUUGCUUCACUCUAUCCCACAAGCUCUAUCUAAGUUAUCAAAAAUCACGUUUUUAACUGGAAUCAAAUUUUGACUGGAAUCAAGUUUUGACUGGAAUAAUCAAGUUUUGACAUGGCCCCAUUUUUGGGAAAUUUAAGUUACCAGUACUUCAUCUAUCUGUUACAGAAUUCUGAGAGGUCUCUGCUCUCACUGCUCCUUCUUUCCUAUCGUUAAACUCUCUCACAUCCAGUCUUUUUGCUGGAAAUUACACGUAGAACGUUGAAAUUACAAUAGUAGAAUUACAGUACAGUAGAACUUACAGUAGAAACUAUUUACACAGCCCUACAUUUGUCAUUUUAAUUUUGCAUUACACUUUGGAAUUAACACUGAUAGUUUGGCUUACUUUGAUAAAUUAUAAAAAAUAUCACCUUUUUAAAAGUUUAUUUGUAAUAAGAUAAUCUGGUUAUUUUGUAAUACAUACAUUCAGACCGUUAUAUACACAUAAAUAAUAAAUUAGAUCCAAAUACUAUAACAUUUGACUGCAAGUUUGUACUAUUAUUAUUUAAGGACAAGCCCAUUUAUGUUACUCAGUGUAAGUAUUCAGUCAAUAUUAUCACCGAGAAGCUGCCUGAGGACCCUGUUUCCUGACUGCUGCAGAAAAUCCAGCUGAAGAAUCCUCAUCACCUGUCAUCUGAUCAUCACACCACCACAGCUCCAUGCAUUUGAUUUAAAUUUUAGAUAUCUGAAAGAUUUACAUAAAUUCCACCUAAGACUUUUAUUAUAGCCUGUUGAUUUAUUCUGCAUAUCUCUUUACAGAAGUUCUAAUUAUUUACCAGUCUGGUUAAAAAAUAUAAGAAGUAAAAUUGUGUAGUUUCUGAAAAAGCUACAAUAAAACGGACCAAAGUGU